CAGUGUCUCCUAUUUCCAUUGGCUUCUCAUUCUUCUUCACGUCUCCUAAACACCCAAUCCAUUCCUUCCUAUUUAGAAAAUUUACCCCAAAAAAGCAGAAGAUGAGAGACUUUUGAGAGCCACAUACUUUCUGCGUUUCAUUAGUUAUGCUCUUGUAUUUCUCAAUCCAAAAUUCGUGAAUCUGUUAAGUCUUUUUUAUACUUUUCGUGUAGGUUUUUUUUUACUUUUGUCACUGAUCAAUAUUUUGUCUUCAAGAGUUCUUACAUAAAUUUGAAUAAGUUAAGAGGAGAUUUUUUACGGAUAUUGUCCGGGAGAUAACCUUGAGAUUAUCUCUCUCCCCCUUCAGAGAAUAUAUUUUGAUUCCAAGGCUGAUUUUUAUUAUGCUUCUAAAUUCACCGUUUAUGUAAAUUGCAGUUGAAGAAAGUGUUAUAGGAGCAGCCAAAAUUUUCCUUUGGACCAAGUUAAAGGCUACCUAGAAUUGUCUGCCUAAACAAAGAUAUAUUUUUCGCCAGCUGAUGCUAUAUGUGGGAUGCAGAAUUUCUAUAUUAAAGUUGAUGAUGUCUUCCAUGUAAAUAUAAGAUGGCGUCAAGGAUAUUGAAAGCAUUGUUGUGUGUUCUUUUGAUAGAAAUUUUUUUUUUUUAUCCCACUAAGGUAUCGAUAUUUGAAUCCAUGGAGACUCGAGAGAUAAGUUCAACAUCUUUGUUUACGAUCCAACAGAACAAAAGAAAUGAAUAUGUGGUUCAAGUUUAAUACAAUGGAAGACUAUUUUUGUGAA